GGCGAACGGGUGAGUAACACGUGAGCAACCUGCCCUGGACUCUGGGAUAAGCGCUGGAAACGGCGUCUAAUACUGGAUAUGAGCUCCUAUCGCAUGGUGGGGGUUGGAAAGAUUUUUCGGUCUGGGAUGGGCUCGCGGCCUAUCAGCUUGUUGGUGAGGUAAUGGCUCACCAAGGCGUCGACGGGUAGCCGGCCUGAGAGGGUGACCGGCCACACUGGGACUGAGACACGGCCCAGACUCCUACGGGAGGCAGCAGUGGGGAAUAUUGCACAAUGGGCGGAAGCCUGAUGCAGCAACGCCGCGUGAGGGAUGACGGCCUUCGGGUUGUAAACCUCUUUUAGCAGGGAAGAAGCGAGAGUGACGGUACCUGCAGAAAAAGCGCCGGCUAACUACGUGCCAGCAGCCGCGGUAAUACGUAGGGCGCAAGCGUUAUCCGGAAUUAUUGGGCGUAAAGAGCUCGUAGGCGGUUUGUCGCGUCUGCUGUGAAAUCCCGAGGCUCAACCUCGGGCCUGCAGUGGGUACGGGCAGACUAGAGUGCGGUAGGGGAGAUUGGAAUUCCUGGUGUAGCGGUGGAAUGCGCAGAUAUCAGGAGGAACACCGAUGGCGAAGGCAGAUCUCUGGGCCGUAACUGACGCUGAGGAGCGAAAGGGUGGGGAGCAAACAGGCUUAGAUACCCUGGUAGUCCACCCCGUAAACGUUGGGAACUAGUUGUGGGGACCAUUCCACGGUUUCCGUGACGCAGCUAACGCAUUAAGUUCCCCGCCUGGGGAGUACGGCCGCAAGGCUAAAACUCAAAGGAAUUGACGGGGACCCGCACAAGCGGCGGAGCAUGCGGAUUAAUUUCGAUGCAACGCGAAGAACCUUACCAAGGCUUGACAUAUACGAGAACGGGCCAGAAAUGGUCAACUCUUUGGACACUCGUAAACAGGUGGUGCAUGGUUGUCGUCAGCUCGUGUCGUGAGAUGUUGGGUUAAGUCCCGCAACGAGCGCAACCCUCGUUCUAUGUUGCCAGCACGUAAUGGUGGGAACUCAUGGGAUACUGCCGGGGUCAACUCGGAGGAAGGUGGGGAUGACGUCAAAUCAUCAUGCCCCUUAUGUCUUGGGCUUCACGCAUGCUACAAUGGCCGGUACAAAGGGCUGCAAUACCGUGAGGUGGAGCGAAUCCCAAAAAGCCGGUCCCAGUUCGGAUUGAGGUCUGCAACUCGACCUCAUGAAGUCGGAGUCGCUAGUAAUCGCAGAUCAGCAACGCUGCGGUGAAUACGUUCCCGGGUCUUGUACACACCGCCCGUCAAGUCAUGAAAGUC
rnacentral:rRNA from 1 species